UACGUAGGCAGCAAGCGUUGUUCGGAAUUACUGGGCGUAAAGAGUGUGUAGGCGGUGCUCUAAGUUCGGUGUGAAAUCUCCCGGCUCAACUGGGAGGGUGCGCCGGAAACUGGGGUGCUGGAGCGCGGGAGAGGAAAGCGGAAUUCCUGGUGUAGCGGUGAAAUGCGUAGAUAUCAGGAGGAACACCGGCGGUGUAGACGGCUGGCUGGGCCUGAUCUGACGCUGAGGUGCGAAAGCGUGGGGAGCGAACAGG
rnacentral:rRNA from 1 species